rnacentral:rRNA from 1 species
UACGUAGGGGGCAAGCGUUGUCCGGAUUUAUUGGGCGUAAAGAGCGUGUAGGCGGCCAUGCAGGUCCGUUGUGAAAGCUCGAGGCUCAACCUCGAGACGCCGAUGGAAACCGCAUGGCUAGAGUCCGGAAGAGGAGAGUGGAAUUCCUGGUGUAGCGGUGAAAUGCGCAGAUAUCAGGAAGAACACCCGUGGCUAAGGCGGCUCUCUAGUACGGUACUGACGCUGAGACGCGAAAGCGUGGGGAGCAAACCGG